AGCGAACGCUGGCGGCAGGCCUAACACAUGCAAGUCGAGCGGCCGUAGCAAUACGGCAGCGGCAGACGGGAUAGUAACACGUGGGAACGCGCCCUUCGGUUCGGAAUAACUCAGGGAAACUUGAGCUAAUACCGGAUACGCCCUUACGGGGAAAGAUUUAUUGCCGAAGGAACGGCCCGCGUCCGAUUAGCUAGUUGGUGAGGUAAUGGCUCACCAAGGCGACGAUCGGUAGCUGGUCNGAGAGGAUGACCAGCAUCACUGGGACUGAGACACGGCCCAGACUCCUACGGGAGGCAGCAGUGGGGAAUAUUGGACAAUGGGCGCAAGCCUGAUCCAGCCAUGCCGCGUGGAUGAUGAAGGCCUUAGGGUUGUAAAGUCCUUUUAACGGGGAAGAUAAUGACGGUACCCGUAGAAUAAGCCCCGGCUAACUUCGUGCCAGCCGCCGCCGUAAC
rnacentral:rRNA from 1 species